CAAGACCUUGCACUUUUGGAGCGGCCGAUGUCUGAUUAGCUAGUUGGUGGSGUAAUGGCCUACCAAAGBUUCGMUCAGUAGCUGGUCUGAGAGGACGGCCAGCCACGCUGGGACUGAGACACGGCCCAGACUCCUACGGGAGGCAGCAGUGGSGAAUUUUGGACAAUGGGCGKKUUSCUGAUCCAGCCAUGCNGCGUGAGUGAAGAAGGCCUUCGGGUUGUAAAGCUCUUUCAGCCGGGAAGAAAAGGUUGCBUUUUUUUUUCKCAAUYUAUGACGGUACCGGAAGAAGAAGCHCCGGCUAACUACGUGCCAGCAGCCGCGGUAAUACGUAGGGUGCGAGCGUUAAUCGGAAUUACUGGGCGUAAAGGGUNCGCAGGCGBBUUUGUAASUCAGAUGUGAAAUCCCCGGCUUANCCUGGSAACU
rnacentral:rRNA from 1 species